rnacentral:rRNA from 1 species
CCUACGGGGGACAGCAGUCGAGAAUCAUUCACAAUGGGGGAAACCCUGAUGGUGCGACGCCGCGUGGGGGAAUGAAGGUCUUCGGAUUGUAAACUCCUGUCAUGUGGGAGCAAAUUAAAAUGAUAGUACCACAAGAGGAAGAGACGGCUAACUCUGUGCCAGCAGCCGCGGUAAUACAGAGGUCUCAAGCGUUGUUCGGAAUCACUGGGCGUAAAGUGUGCGUAGGCUGUUUCGUAAGUCGUGUGUGAAAGGCGCGGGCUCAACCCGCGGACGGCACAUGAUACUGCGAGACUAGAGUAAUGGAGGGGUAACCGGAAUUCUCGGUGUAGCAGUGAAAUGCGUAGAGAUCGAGAGGAACACUCGUGGCGAAGGCGGGUUCCUGGACAAUAUCUGACGCUGAGGCACGAAGGCCAGGGGAGCGAAAGGGAUUAGAUACCCGGGUAGUC